AGCUAAGCGAAGGUAUCUCAACAAAAUAUGAGGACAAGAAUUUGUGUGAAAUUAUUGGGUAUCUCAAAACUGAAAAGAAGAACGUGCAACGAGUGCAAGGUUCCAAAUGGAACAUGGUUCUACAAAUAGUCCAAUCCCUUAUCCCUCAUGCUUAGGUCUCAUCAUACUUAAGGGUCGUCGCUCUUCGUCGUUUAGCCAUAGAGAUUGAUCUCAUCUUGGGGGGUUUGAUCCUAACUUCGACGGCUUCCACAAAUGAUUGCCCUUGGAUUGUUUGUGAAGGGCUUUUUCUUCAGUGACAUGUUUCUUCAAUAAAUCGUCUAGUGCGCAAAAACCAAGAAUGUUAGUUAGAGAAAAACCUGAGAAAUAGAAUGACUUACUCUGAUCUUCUAUUUUAAAGUCCUUCCGCUAACAGGCUCAUCUGCCUCUGGCCUCUUGCAUGCCACCACGUGACAAGGCAACACCCGAUGCCCCUAAACUCCGUGGCACUGAAGAAAGAGCAAGGGUAAUAACACGUUCACUUGACAUAACGAUGACAGACUCGGGGUGAGCAAAAUCCAA
rnacentral:sRNA from 1 species